UACGUAGGGUGCUAGCGUUGUCCGGAAUCAUUGGGCGUAAAGAGCUCGUAGGCGGUUUGUCGCGUCGGCUGUGAAAACUGGGGGCUCAACCCCUGGCCUGCAGUCGAUACGGGCAGACUAGAGUUCGGUAGGGGAGACUGGAAUUCCUGGUGUAGCGGUGAAAUGCGCAGAUAUCAGGAGGAACACCGGUGGCGAAGGCGGGUCUCUGGGCCGAUACUGACGCUGAGGAGCGAAAGCGUGGGGAGCGAACAGG
rnacentral:rRNA from 1 species